GACGAACGCUGGCGGCGUGCUUAACACAUGCAAGUCGAACGGAAAGGCCCUGCUUUUGUGGGGUGCUCGAGUGGCGAACGGGUGAGUAACACGUGAGUAACCUGCCCUUGACUUUGGGAUAACUUCAGGAAACUGGGGCUAAUACCGGAUAGGAGCUCCUGCUGCAUGGUGGGGGUUGGAAAGUUUCGGCGGUUGGGGAUGGACUCGCGGCUUAUCAGCUUGUUGGUGGGGUAGUGGCUUACCAAGGCUUUGACGGGUAGCCGGCCUGAGAGGGUGACCGGGCACAUUGGGACUGAGAUAGGGCCCAGAGUCCUACGGGAGGCAGCAGUGGGGAAUAUUGCACAAUGGGCGGAAGCCGGAUGCAGCAACGCCGCGUGCGGGAUGACGGCCUUCGGGUUGUAAACCGCUUUCGCCUGUGACGAAGCGUGAGUGACGGUAAUGGGUAAAGAAGCACCGGCUAACUACGUG
rnacentral:rRNA from 1 species